rnacentral:lncRNA from 1 species
GCAUGGAAGGCUUCUGCAUGGGAGAAAAUUCAUGAGAAGUUGUUUCUCGUGAAUUCAAAUGGGCGCAGAUGAAGUGAGGUGGCGCAGGGAGAGAAAUCAAGGUGGUUUGAAAUCCAAUUGAACCAACCUUAUUUAAAAUAGGUUAGACACAAUUAGACUAAAUUAAAUCCAACUAAAUUAAGCUUAAUUAGGCUCAAUAAAAUCCUAAUGAAAUCAAGAAUUGACUAAGCCCAACCCCUGAUCAAAUCAGUGACCAAAAUACUUUAGCGAUUAGGUCAACACUUAAUCUAAUCGGGUCAAACCCAACUGAAUCCAAUUCAAUUGGACUUGAUCCAAAAAUAAUUACUCAAUCAAAUUGAGUUAAUUAAUGAUCAAAUUACUAAUUAAACCUCUCAUAAAUAUUGAGUCCAAAUCUGAUGGACAAUCGGGUAUCAAAGUCCAUCGAUAUGAAACCUUGAUCGAAGAGUCCCAAACCAGUGGGACUCUUGACCCCGGUACCCAAAAUGUGUGGUACUCGUGAUCAGAGAAUCUUGAUUCCUGAUCACAGAGUCCCAAACACAUAGAACUCAUAGUCCAUGAGUAUUAGGACUCUUCAUCAGCCAUC